rnacentral:rRNA from 1 species
UACAGAGGUCUCAAGCGUUGUUCGGAUUCAUUGGGCGUAAAGGGUGCGUAGGUGGCGCGGUAAGUCGGGUGUGAAAUUUCGGAGCUUAACUCCGAAACUGCAUUCGAUACUGCCGAGCUUGAGGACUGGAGAGGAGACUGGAAUUUACGGUGUAGCAGUGAAAUGCGUAGAUAUCGUAAGGAAGACCAGUGGCGAAGGCGGGUCUCUGGACAGUUCCUGACACUGAGGCACGAAGGCCAGGGGAGCAAACGGG